CCCCAAGUAUGUUAUAGAAUGUGUUAUAAAGGGGGCCUUUGUGCCUAUAAAUUUAUACAACUUUCAGCAACGGAUCUCUUGGCUCUCGCAUCGAUGAAGAACGCAGCGAAAUGCGAUAAGUAAUGUGAAUUGCAGAAUUCAGUGAAUCAUCGAAUCUUUGAACGCACCUUGCGCUCCUUGGUAUUCCGAGGAGCAUGCCUGUUUGAGUGUCAUUAAUAUAUAUCAACCUCCUUCAGCUUUUUGCAUGCUGUGUUGAGUGUUGGAUGUGGGGGUAUUUUUUUGCUGGACUCUAGAAUCAUGAGAGUUCAGCUCCCUUAAAAUGUAUCAGCGAAACAAUUUGUUUACCGCUCAUUGGUGUGAUAACUAUCUACGCUAUUGACGGUGAAAGCAUGUUUAGCUUCUAACAGUCCAUUAACUUGGACAAUCUCUUAUUAAUGUGACCUCAAAUCAGGUAGGACUACCCGCUGAACUGAAGCAUAUCAAUAAGCGGAGGAAAAGAAA
rnacentral:rRNA from 1 species